AUACAUGCAAGUCGAGCGGACAGAUGGGAGCUUGCUCCCUGAUGUUAGCGGCGGACGGGUGAGUAACACGUGGGUAACCUGCCUGUAAGACUGGGAUAACUCCGGGAAACCGGGGCUAAUACCGGAUGGUUGUCUGAACCGCAUGGUUCAGACAUAAAAGGUGGCUUCGGCUACCACUUACAGAUGGACCCGCGGCGCAUUAGCUAGUUGGUGAGGUAACGGCUCACCAAGGCGACGAUGCGUAGCCGACCUGAGAGGGUGAUCGGCCACACUGGGACUGAGACACGGCCCAGACUCCUACGGGAGGCAGCAGUAGGGAAUCUUCCGCAAUGGACGAAAGUCUGACGGAGCAACGCCGCGUGAGUGAUGAAGGUUUUCGGAUCGUAAAGCUCUGUUGUUAGGGAAGAACAAGUGCCGUUCAAAUAGGGCGGCACCUUGACGGUACCUAACCAGAAAGCCACGGCUAACUACGUGCCAGCAGCCGCGGUAAUACGUAGGUGGCAAGCGUUGUCCGGAAUUAUUGGGCGUAAAGGGCUCGCAGGCGGUUUCUUAAGUCUGAUGUGAAAGCCCCCGGCUCAACCGGGGAGGGUCAUUGGAAACUGGGGAACUUGAGUGCAGAAGAGGAGAGUGGAAUUCCACGUGUAGCGGUGAAAUGCGUAGAGAUGUGGAGGAACACCAGUGGCGAAGGCGACUCUCUGGUCUGUAACUGACGCUGAGGAGCGAAAGCGUGGGGAGCGAACAGGAUUAGAUACCCUGGUAGUCCACGCCGUAAACGAUGAGUGCUAAGUGUUAGGGGGUUUCCGCCCCUUAGUGCUGCAGCUAACGCAUUAAGCACUCCGCCUGGGGAGUACGGUCGCAAGACUGAAACUCAAAGGAAUUGACGGGG
rnacentral:rRNA from 1 species